CAGUCGCCGCGGUAACACGGAGGGGGCUAGCGUUGUUCGGAAUUACUGGGCGUAAAGCGCACGUAGGCGGCUUGGUAAGUUAGAGGUGAAAGCCUGGAGCUCAACUCCAGAAUUGCCUUUAAGACUGCCGAGCUAGCAGGUGAGAGAGGUAAGUGAAAUUCCGAGUGUAGAGGUGAAAUUCGUAGAUAUUCGGAAGAACACCAGUGGCGAAGGCGGCUUACUGGCUCAUACUGGACGCUGAGGUGCGAAAGCGUGGGGAGCAAACAGGAUUAGAUACCCCGGUAGUCCCUGUCUCUUAUAA
rnacentral:rRNA from 1 species